UAUUAUUAUUAUUAUUUAGUAUUAUUAUUAUUAUUUUUAUUGUUAUUAUUAUUAAGAGAGUGAGAAAAGUCUUCAACAUCUUGUGAAACAGUUCAGAGGAAUAGGACUGAGUAUGAAUACAGGGGAAAGAAAGUAUUGAACAAAAAAUAUCUAUAACAAUAAGUUAUUUCUUAUCUUUUAAGAAUAGAUAUGUAAGAAGCUCUUCUUGUUCGUAUACAGUAUCAGAAAUGGUACUUACAAGAACUUGAGGAGGCAUUUCCUUCAAAAUGGAAUAAAACCUAGGGUUCAUGGGAACACUGGUCGCAUUCCUUGUCAUGCUGUUUCUGUGGAAGGCAUUAAAGAUGUGGUAGCAUUUUUGGAGAACUAUGCUGAAGACUACACCAUAUUACUACCUGGGAGGAUACCUAGAGUGAGGGAUUAUGGGAAGGCCAAGCUAUUGCCGUCCAGUGUGUCCCGACACAAGGUUUACCGGCAGUAUGCUGAUGCUGGUAGGGAACAUACUCUCUGUGAAAGUCCUACUUGUGCAAAUAGAGUAUCGAAGAGUAAAAGUAAAAGCGCAUUCUCUAUCUCAGGAUUUAAAUAAAGAAGUUGCCUUUUCUGUUAAUGUACAAUGAACAUCUCAUAAUCAAGAAACAGUUUGUUCUAUGGACAUUGCCGUAUUCUUUAAAAGAUUGUGUUAAUGGUUGCUGAGUAAGUAAUUUUCACAUGCCCAUGUCUCUGACUGUAAAAUGUAUUUUGUCAUUAUGUCUCAAAUAAACGCUUGAUUUUAGAUU
rnacentral:lncRNA from 1 species